rnacentral:rRNA from 1 species
GACGAACGCUGGCGGCGUGCUUAACACAUGCAAGUCGAACGGAAAGGCCCUGCUUUUGUGGGGUGCUCGAGUGGCGAACGGGUGAGUAACACGUGAGUAACCUGCCCUUGACUUUGGGAUAACUUCAGGCAACUGGGGCUAAUACAGGAUAGGAGCGGCUGCUGCAUGGGGGGGGUUGGAAAGUUCCGGCGGUUGGGGAUGGACUCGGGGCGUAUCAGCUUGUUGGUGGGGUAGUGGCUUACCCAGGCGUCGAUGGGUAGCCGGACUGAGAGGAGGAUCAGUCACACUGGAACUGAGACACGGACCAGACUCCUACGGGAGGCAGCAGUCGGGAAUAUUGGACAGUGGGCGGAAGCCUGAUCCAGCCAUGCCGCGUGUGUGAAGAAGGUCUUCGGAUUGUAAAGCACGUUUAGUUGGGAGGAAGGGCAGUAAGUUGAUACCUUGCUGUUUUGACGUUACCAACAGAAUAAGCACCGGCUAACUACGUG